GAAGAGGGUUCUGGGUGUUUUUUUUUAUUUUUUUUUUAGGGUUAAUCUUAGUUUACUACCCUGAAGUUUCGUGAUUUUCAACAUUUGGUACAUGAAGUUUUUUUCAUCUCAAAGUCAUACCUCAAGUUUUAAUUUUGGGACAGUUUCGUACAUCCGUUAAGUUGGCUGUUAAGUCAGCCGUUAAUUAAUGACGUGGCCUCCAUGUGGACAAUGACUGGACGCCACAUGUCAAUAUGGGCCGACAUAGAUAUUAAAAAACAAUUUAAAAUUAAAACUUAAAGUUAAAAAAAAAAUUAAAAAAUUAACUUUUCUGGGCACCCCACCCUUUCCGACCCUCUUUCUCAUUCUCUCUCCCUUCUCUUCUCUACACCCACCUCCCC
rnacentral:lncRNA from 1 species